UCUGGACAUCAGGAAAGGACUGCCCCACUUCUUUCAGUCUAUCUCUGUGCAACUCUGGACCCAUGGCAUUAUUCCUGAGGUGGGUUGCUAGCAGUCUUUCUCCCAAAAAGAGGAACGGAAGCAAUCCUCAACAGAGAAAAGGUACUUCAGUAAAUGUCUGUUGUGACAUUGCAGUCCUGCCAGGCUUCUAGCACAUAAGGAUACAUACAGUACAUCUGACUCAAAGACUGGAGGAAACCUUUGCGAUUAGCUGGCGUGACAUCCUCCAGGACCUCCAUCUCGCCCCAGGACCUCCGUCUCGCCCCAGGACCUCCGUCUCGCCCCAGGA
rnacentral:lncRNA from 1 species